AAAGAAGGUGCUUUUCCUGCAGAUGGAACUCAUUAGGGUUGUACUUCACAUUUCUAAUUUGGAGUGCCAUUAAAAGGGAUUCUAAAGAUGACUCACUGAAAAUGGGUAAAAGAUUGAUUACUUGAACAUAGACCUGGUGGGUACUCUGACUUUGCUCUUCUCUGUUAUGCUGGGGUCUUUGGAAGGCUCUUGCCAUCUCAGCUGGCUCUGGGGCUAUUGGUUGAAACUAGUUUUGGAUCAGGAGGAAAAGGGUAACAGGUGACCAAGCUUACAUCCCUGGAAGCUUCCCCUGGAUGGGUCAGAAUAUGGAGGAAAAUACUUUUAGCACUAGUCCAGGAGAAAUCAGAAAUCUGUUGGACCUCCUGCUCCAAGCUGCUAUAGUUUUCCAGCAGUAUCAGGAUUCCUGGAAUGCACAAGGGAGAAGAAAAGAAGCAGUUGCAGCAACAAUGUGGACCAGCCUAACAACAUCAGAGCAAGAUGUCCAGGUACUGAGGUUGCCAACUUUUGAACUGAGCCAUAUCUGAUGCAGCUUCUUACUACCAUGCUGUGAAAAUCUUUGGUUACCGAUUUCCAAUAAUUCAGGUUGCACCGAAAGAUGGAAAAAUAAACCCACUCAUUUUUCCCUAACUAGUUCUUAUGUCUGCCUGCUUAUCCCCGAAACUAACUCUCUUCUCAUUUAUUGUCUAAUAUAGUUUCACAUUUGUCUUAUGUCUUAAAAUGUAGUAAUAUCACCACUGAUCCUAUGUUUGUAGUUCUAACUCAUUGUGGCAAUGUUGUACAAAUAAAACUCCUUGAAUGUGUAAAUGCUAACUUGGAAUAUGCACUUAAAAAAUUUUAAAAAGACAAAAUUCUCUCAAGACAAGCACAACUGUAGGUGACUAUAUGGGUGUCUCAAUGAAAUUUUCUUGGCAGCAGUUUGGAAGUGAUUUUUCUACCUUCCCAGUCUAGCCUAUAUUUCUGGGUUUCUGGUGCUUUCCCUGCCACAUGUUAACCAGUUCCAACCUGCUUAAUUAUUUUUGUGAUCAGCCAAGGUUGCUAUGUGCUGCAGCCUACUGUGAUAAGCAACUCACUGACCUGUCCUAGCAACAAAUCAUGACCUUGGCAUUAUCAGCACUGUGCUUACAUCAGCUGAGCUAAUGGACCAGCUGGAAUAGAUAUGCUGGAUCUGCUUAAACCUGAAAAUAAGAGAAUUUAGAUCAGAGAUGAGAAGCCUAAACAUGGUCUCUGUUUCAAUAUUAGGUACAUUUCUAAUAUUCCAUCAAUUUCAAAUUCAAGAGAGGAAAGAAUGGGCAAAAGAUUAGUUUUAUUGUGUAUAACCUCAAAGACAUAUAAAGCAGUGUUAAAAAACACAGUAAAAAUGUAAAUUACAACUUAGAGAUGUCAUGAGGUACAAUAAAAGCAACAGUGUGGGGGUGGUUCAGAUGUUUCCAAUUUGAAUCAAUUUUUUAACAAAACAUAUAACUAUGCAUAUAAAUGAUCAUUGGUUGACUUCUGGGGAAGCAAUGACGAACUGCAGAUGGCUCUGCAAGAGUAGAGCCGACAGCUGCAGCGCAAAGAGAAGUUGGUGAAUGGAUCAACUCCUCGUAACCCCUCUCCAAAUUAAGGAGAGAACUAGGAUUGCCCAGAAGUUUGCUUCAUACAGAGGCUCCCCACAAGGAGAUCAUAGAAUAGCAAUCUCCAGUGGAUUUGAGAGCUCUGGGAACUGGGGGAGAAUCAUCCUGUCUAAGUUGCAGUUCAGUGCCUUCAAAAGGACACUGGGUUUGCCCACUUCCUCUCUUA